GACGAACGCUGGCGGCGUGCUUAACACAUGCAAGUCGAACGGAAAGGCCCUGCUUGCAGGGUACUCGAGUGGCGAACGGGUGAGUAACACGUGGGUGAUCUGCCCUGCACUUCGGGAUAAGCCUGGGAAACUGGGUCUAAUACCGGAUAGGAGCCAUUUUUAGUGUGAUGGUUGGAAAGUUUGUUCGGUGUAGGAUGAGCUCGCGGCCUAUCAGCUUGUUGGUGGGGUAAUGGCCUACCAAGGCGGCGACGGGUAGCCGGCCUGAGAGGGUGGACGGCCACAUUGGGGCUGAGAUACGGCCCAGACUCCUACGGGAGGCAGCAGUGGGGAAUAUUGCACAAUGGGCGCAAGCCUGAUGCAGCGACGCCGCGGGGGGGAUGACGGCCUUCGGGUUGUAAACUCCUUUCGCUAGGGACGAAGCUUUUUGUGACGGUACCUAGAUAAGAAGCACCGGCUAACUACGUG
rnacentral:rRNA from 1 species